CCUACGGGAGGCAGCAGUCGAGAAUCAUUCACAAUGGGGGAAACCCUGAUGGUGCGACGCCGCGUGAGGGAAUGAAGGUCUUCGGAUUGUAAACCCCUGUCAUGUGGGAGCAAAUUAAGAAGAUAGUACCACAAGAGGAAGAGACGGCUAACUCUGUGCCAGCAGCCGCGGUAAUACAGAGGUCUCAAGCGUUGUUCGGAAUCACUGGGCGUAAAGCGUGCGUAGGCUGUUUCGUAAGUCGUGUGUGAAAGGCGCGGGCUCAACCCGCGGACGGCACAUGAUACUGCGAGACUAGAGUGAUGGAGGGGGAACCGGAAUUCUCGGUGUAGCAGUGAAAUGCGUAGAUAUCGAGAGGAACACUAGUGGCGAAGGCGGGUUCCUGGACAUUAACUGACGCUGAGGCACGAAGGCGAGGGGAGCGAAAGGGAUUAGAUACCCCAGUAGUC
rnacentral:rRNA from 1 species